rnacentral:rRNA from 1 species
GACGUAGGGCGCGAGCGUUGUCCGGAUUUAUUGGGCGUAAAGAGCUCGUAGGCGGCUUGUCGCGUCGUCCGUGAAAACCUGCGGCUCAACUGCAGGCUGGCGGUCGAUACGGGCAGGCUGGAGUUCGGUAGGGGAGACUGGAAUUCCUGGUGUAGCGGUGAAGUGCGCAGAUAUCAGGAGGAACACCGGUGGCGAAGGCGGGUCUCUGGGCCGAUACUGACGCUGAGGAGCGAAAGCGUGGGGAGCGAACAGG